CAAAACUCAAAAAAUAGAUCUCAGUUCGGACUGUAGGCUGCAACUCGCCUACACGAAGUUGGAAUUGCUAGUAAUCGUGGAUCAGCAUGCCACGGUGAAUACGUUCCCGGGUCUUGUACACACCGCCCGUCACACCAUGGGAGCUGGUAACACCCGAAGUCAGUAGUCUAACCGCAAGGAGGACGCUGCCGAAGGUGGGAUUAGCGACUGGGGUGAAGUCGUAACAAGGUAGC
rnacentral:rRNA from 1 species